AGGGUGUAAACGCUGCAGACUUGGUGUUGGGAACCCUUCGGGGGUGCUCAGUGCCGGAGAGAAGUUGUUAAGUCUGCUACUUGGGGAGUACGUCCGCAAGGAUGAAACUUAAAGGAAUUGGCGGGGGGAGGCACCGCAACGGGAGGAGCGUGCGGUUUAAUUGGAUUCAACGCCGAAAAACUACGCCAGCAGCGACUGUUACAUGAAAGUCAGGUUGAUGACCUUACUAGAUUUUCAGAGAGGAGGUGCAUGGCGUCAGUGACU
rnacentral:rRNA from 1 species